UCUUGGUCAUUUAGAGGAAGUAAAAGUCGUAACAAGGUUUCCGUAGGUGAACCUGCGGAAGGAUCAUUAACGAAAAAAAUUAAUCGAGGGUUGAUGCUGGCAGUCUUUGAUCAGCUGCAUCGUGCUUGCUCUUGUUAAUUCCUUCUUAAAAAAUAUUUACACUUGUGCACUUGAUUUUUUUGAAGGGGUUAGGGUUAGGGUUAGAACUCUACUCUACCUUUUUAAAAAAAAGACUUGAUAAAACUCUUAAUUGGAUUAAUGGAUGUUUACUUGCUGCAAGGCAAAAAUUUAAUACAACUUUUAACAAUGGAUCUCUUGGCUCUCGCAUCGAUGAAGGACGCAGCGAAAUGCGAUAAGUAAUGUGAAUUGCAGAAUUCAGUGAAUCAUCGAAUCUUUGAACGCACAUUGCGCCCAUUAGUAUUCUAGUGGGCAUGCCUGUUCGAGCGUCAUUUCAACCCUUAAGCCUAGCUUAGCGUUGGGAGACUGCGCUAAACCGCAGCUCCUCAAAACCAGUGGCGGAGUCCUCUCGUACUCUGAGCGUAGUAAUUCUUUAUCUCGCUUCUGCAAGUACGGUUGACGACAGCCAUAAACCGCACCCUCUCGGGGGGCACUUUUUAAUGGUUGACCUCGGAUCAUGUAGGAAUACCCGCUGAACUUAAGCAUAUCAAUAAGCGGAGGA
rnacentral:rRNA from 1 species